rnacentral:rRNA from 1 species
UGCCAAACUCUAGCCCAAAAGACAUUGACCUGGAAUAACAAAGCUAUUCACGACACCCAACCAAAGCAUUUGCUAGUCCCAGUAUAGGCGAUAGAAAAGACACCAUCGGAGCGAUAGAGAUCACGUACCGUAAGGGAAAGAUGAAAUAGCAGUGAAACAACUAAGCUAAAAACAGCAAAGAUCAACCCUUGUACCUCUUGCAUCAUGGUCUAGCAAGAAAAACCAAGCAAAAUGAAUUGUAGUUUGCCACCCCGAAACCCAAGCGAGCUACUUACGAGCAGCUAUUUUGAGCGAACCCGUCUCUGUAGCAAAAGAGUGGGAUGACUUGUCAGUAGAGGUGAAAAGCCAACCGAGCUGGGUGAUAGCUGGUUGCCUGUGAAACGAAUCUUAGUUCACUCUUAAUUCUUCUCCAAGGAACACCAAACCCUAAUGAAGCGAAUUAAGGGCUAUUUAAAGGGGGUACAGCUCCUUUAAAAAAGAAUACAAUCUCCACGAGCGGAUAAGUCAACCUCCCUACCUUAAUGUGGGCCCUCAAGCAGCCAUCAACAAAGAGUGCGUUAAAGCUCUACACUCAAAAAUACACGAACAUUACGACUCCCUCCCCACUAACAGGCUAACCUAUACCAAUAGGAGAAUUAAUGCUAGAAUGAGUAACCUGGGUCUCUCCCUCUACGACGCAAGCUUACAUCUUUACAUUAUUAACAAGUCACCCGUAUACGAUCAAUCCAACAAGCACAGUAUUAAACACUUUGUUAACCCGACAGAGGAGCGUCCAUUAAGAAAGAUUAAAACCUGUAAAAGGAACUCGGCAAGCCCGUCAAGACCCGACUGUUUACCAAAAACAUAGCCUUCAGCAAACCCCUAACAAGUAUUGAAGGUGAUGCCUGCCCGGUGACCUGAGGUUUAACGGCCGCGGUAUCCUAACCGUGCAAAGGUAGCGCAAUCAGUUGUCCCAUAAAUCGGGACUAGUAUGAAUGGCUAAACGAGGUCUUAACUGUCUCUUACAGGCAAUCGGUGAAAUUGAUCUCCCUGUGCAAAAGCAGGGAUAACUCCAUAAGACGAGAAGACCCUGUGGAACUUCAAAACCAGCAGCCACCCUAGCUUACCUUCACCCCCACCGGGCUCACACUGACUAGGCCCUGGCUGAUGUUUUUCGGUUGGGGCGACCUUGGAGAAAAACAAAUCCUCCAAAAAUUAGACCUUCCAUCUAGACCAAGAGCGACCUCUCAACGUGCUAAUAGCAACCAGACCCAAUACAAUUGAUCAAUGGACCAAGCUACCCCAGGGAUAACAGCGCAAUCUCCCCCGAGAGUCCAUAUCGACGAGGAGGUUUACGACCUCGAUGUUGGAUCAGGACAUCCUAGCGGUGCAGCCGCUGCUAAGGGUUCGUUUGUUCAACGAUUAACAGUCCUACGUGAUCUGAGUUCAGACCGGAGCAAUCCAGGUCGGUUUCUAUCUAUGAUGAACUCUUCCCAGUACGAAAGGAUAGGAAAAGUAGGGCCAAUGCUACAGGUAAGCCCUCGCUUUAAGCAGUGAAACCAACUAAACCGCGAAAGGCUACCACACCACAUCACAUCCUAGAAAAGGACCA